UCGGAUCCUUCACUAGAAGCUCCCUGAUUAGAUCCCGCAGCGGCGUGGCUUCCCCGCCGAGAUCCGGCGACAUCGUCAGGAUCCUGAAGAAAGUCUCCUUCCGAUUCGCCCCUCGGAACGGUGUCCUUCCGUAGAGCAUCUCGUACAUCACCACCCCUAGCGACCACCAGUCAACGAAGAAGUCGUGUAGAGCAUCUCGUACAUCACCACCCCUAGCGACCACCAGUCAACGGAGAAGUCGUGGCCGUACCCCUGGAUCACCUCCGGCGCCACGUAUUCUUCCGUUCCGACGAACGAGUUCGAUUUACCCUCCGUCGCUGCUGUCGUCUUCAUCAUGGAUUUCGACCGCUGGAGUAUGGGAGCGGGACCGCGAUCGGAUUCGUCCGUCGAGCAGCCACCGCCGCAGAAAGUCUCCUUCCGAUUCGCCCCUCGGAACGGUGUCCUUCCGUAGAGCAUCUCGUACAUCACCACCCCUAGCGACCACCAGUCAACGGAGAAGUCGUGGCCGUACCCCUGGAUCACCUCCGGCGCCACGUAUUCUUCCGUUCCGACGAACGAGUUCGAUUUACCCUCCGUCGCUGCUGUCGUCUUCAUCAUGGAUUUCGACC
rnacentral:lncRNA from 1 species